UACGAGAGGCCCAAACGUUAUUCGGAUUUACUGGGCUUAAAGAGUUCGUAGGCCGCGCGGAAAGUAGGGUGUGAAAGCCCUCGGCUCAACCGAGGAACUGCGCUCUAAACUACCGUGCUUGAGGAACCUAGAGGUGAGCAGAACUGAUGGUGGAGCGGUGAAAUGCGUUGAUAACAUCAGGAAUACCGGAGGCGGAGGCGGCUCACUGGGGGUUUUCUGACGCUGAGGAACGAAAGCCAGGGGAGCAAACGGG
rnacentral:rRNA from 1 species